rnacentral:lncRNA from 14 species
GGAAGAGUUUGCUCUUGCCUGCAUCCAGCUGUUUUCAGGCUUUCUGUUGCUGAGCUCUGAAUCUCGAUACCUACCCGAGGACAUAUUACAUGAAUUCAGGCAACUGCGCAAAAUGCAGGCAAUUGUGAACUUUUCCUGCUGCACCUGGCCAACCACUCUUAUUUCCUGUGCUAAAACCAGAGAAGUUUCCUUGUCUUUAUCCCAUCUGAUGUGCUACAGGGUACAGCUAGAGAGGUCUGAAGCAAAAUUUCUAAAUUCAGAUGAAGAACUUCAAAAGUGACAUGAUUUUCAAGAGCUCUGAAUUCUAGAGGCUGAAAGUGAAACCAGCAGUUUUGAAGUUAAAACCUGUUUAAAAGCUCCAAUAAGAAUGUGUCUUUCUUUUCAAAUGGGAAGCUGUUUAUAGCAUGAAAAGUAAAAUUGUCUUGAAAAAAUAUUAAAAUGUAACAUUUGGACCUUGUUAUGGAAUGAAAUACUUGAUUGAAGCCAUUAUGAAUGAGUAAACAUUUCAGUGUCACAGAACCUAC